UGCUUCUGCUAUCUUGCUGACACACGCUGC
rnacentral:piRNA from 1 species